rnacentral:rRNA from 1 species
AACGAACGCUGGCGGCAUGCCUAACACGUGCAAGUCGAACGAGAUCUUCGGGUCUAGUGGCGCACGGGUGCGUAACGCGUGGGAAUCUGCCCUUUGGUUCGGAAUAACAGUUGGAAACGACUGCUAAUACCGGAUGAUGACGAAAGCCCAAAGAUUUAUCGCCAGAGGAUGAGCCCGCGUAGGAUUAGCUAGUUGGUGUGGUAAAGGCGCACCAAGGCGACGAUCCUUAGCUGGUCUGAGAGGAUGAUCAGCCACACUGGGACUGAGACACGGCCCAGACUCCUACGGGAGGCAGCAGUGGGGAAUAUUGGACAAUGGGCGAAAGCCUGAUCCAGCAAUGCCGCGUGAGUGAUGAAGGCCUUAGGGUUGUAAAGCUCUUUUACCCGGGAUGAUAAUGACAGUACCGGGAGAAUAAGCUCCGGCUAACUCCGUGCCAGCAGCCGCCGUAACAC